GCACGCUGCAACUCUCCCGGCGCGCGGCCGGCGAGGGCCAGCAUCCGCGGCGAAGGGGAGCGAGAAGGAGGCCGCGCGCUUCUUCUCGUUCCUCUCUCACCGGCGGCGGCCGUCCCAUUCGAGGCGGCUCGAUCUGGUUCGGUUCGGUUCGGUGGAGACCACCCCUCGUCCAUCCCGCGCUGCCGCUCACUAGCCACCAACCAGGCAGUGGCCGUCGCCGUCGCCCAUUGCCAUUACCGGCUAGCCUGUGUUGUUGCCUUUAGCAUGGACACUUGAAAAUAUGUGGAGGAAAGCAGGGGAAAUGACCGAUACUACUGGAAGAAUUCUUCUUUGUAUCAUAUAUUAUGUUGCCCUCUCACAGCAUGUAACAAGUAUUGGCACAAUCAAGCUGGAUACUUGACAAUUCAAGAUUUCAAAUGGUCCUGAUUGCCUCCAAGAAACAGCAAGAGGAAGCACCGACUAACAAGUAACAUGCUGCAAUAUCAUCUGAACCAAAGGUUAUAGCAUUGAUGCUGGACGCCUUCAGUUGUCAUGGAAGCUUUGUUUGUAAGCCAUCUCCGUGUAACUUAAUAAGGGCCUAGAUGACAGCUUGGAACCUGGGACAAACAUAUACAUAUAACCUCGUCCAAUAUGUAGCAGUUAGUUUGCAAGUGAGUUUGAGUUGUCCAUGUAGCAUAAGCACUUGUGUUUGAGUUGUCCAAUAUACCUCGGUAAGCAUUCUGAUGGCUGCUUUUCCAGUAGGAUAAUCACUUGUGUUUGAGUUGUCCAUGUUUUUUGCCUGCAAUUCAUCUCAGGUAUCAAUUAAUGUAAGAUGACCUAGAGUUUUGCAGCUGCCAUACGUACAUCUUUGUUUGGGUAGGUUGUAAUGCUGAACUUAAUAAAUCUUUCUUUGGGUAGGUUCUAAUGCUGAACUUAAUAAAUCUUUGUUUGGGCCGUUAACUUAAGCUUCUGUGCUGAACUUAAUAAAUCUUUUUUUCGGCCGGUAACUUGAGCUUCUGUGCUGAACUUAAUAAAUCUUUGUUUAGGCCGAUAACUUGAGCUUGUAUGCUGAACUUACAAAAGAGUUUUCAUCAGUUAAAUGGAAUAAAAGCAAAGGAGUCAGGAAUUUUUUAGAAGUGACAAUUACUUGGCACGGCUGAAUGCUAGAAACUGUGUUCCAUGAAGGGUUGAUUGGGAAUAUGUUUUUUUGGUGCCAUGCAGUACAAUCCUUAGUUUGUCUUUUGCUGAUCUUCGUUUGUUCUUGAAUUCUUAAAUAUAGUGACAGCCUCUGCAUAUACUCUGCUGAGUACUAGCAACUCUUUCCAAGAUAGUGAUUAAGUGAAUAAUUAUUUUGUUUUCGAAUAAUCUUACAUCCAUCACGUCCAGCUUGCACCAUACCAUUUCCAACAUUAUUUAUGUCAGUAGUCAAACUUUUAUAGGAUAUGUAAGGUUUGUUUCAUUAUUUUGUAAAGGACCUUAGGAAGGCAUUGGUGUAUUUGCAAGUUAAGUUGAAUGAAGCAAUGAUAAUUUAUUUGGAGGACCAAUCCAGGUGAAAGAAUCUUACACUGACAUCUGCUAUUUGGGUAGCUGCUUGGCUCGUAUGAGCACGGAUGCAUAUCAACCCACGAGCUAUAUGAGGCCCAGCGUGUUCUGGCAAUCGGAAGUAUGGUCUCUGAAAAUGACCCCUCAAAGGCCAACCCACUCGUAUGGCUGGAAAGAUGAAAGAAUUUUUAUGUUGAUAUGUUCCUGUCAGUCAACAGUAAGGUUGCCAUAUUUAUAUGGCAUCAGGAUUCUUUAUCUCGGUAUUUACUGUAGUGUGCAAUGCCUUUGUGGACUCCAAAGCCACUCCUGUAGUUAUCUAAUCAAUCAACUGGC